rnacentral:rRNA from 1 species
GACGAACGCUGGCGGCGUGCCUAAUACAUGCAAGUUGAGCGCUGAAGGUUGGUACUUGUACCAACUGGAUGAGCAGCGAACGGGUGAGUAACGCGUGGGGAAUCUGCCUUUGAGCGGGGGACAACAUUUGGAAACGAAUGCUAAUACCGCAUAAAAACUUUAAACACAAGUUUUAAGUUUGAAAGAUGCAAUUGCAUCACUCAAAGAUGAUCCCGCGUUGUAUUAGCUAGUUGGUGAGGUAAAGGCUCACCAAGGCGAUGAUACAUAGCCGACCUGAGAGGGUGAUCGGCCACAUAGGGACUGAGAAACGGCCCAAACUCCUACGGGAGGCAGCAGUAGGGAAUCUUCGGCAAUGGACGAAAGUCUGACCGAGCAACGCCGCGUGAGUGAAGAAGGUUUUCGGAUCGUAAAACUCUGUUGGUAGAGAAGAACGUUGGUGAGAGUGGAAAGCUCAACAAGUGACGGUAACUACCCAGAAAGGGACGGCUAACUACGUG